rnacentral:rRNA from 1 species
GAUGAACGCUGGCGGCGUGCCUAAUACAUGCAAGUCGAGCGAACAGACGAGGAGCUUGCUCCUCUGACGUUAGCGGCGGACGGGUGAGUAACACGUGGAUAACCUCCCUAUAAGACUGGGAUAACUUCGGGAAACCGGAGCUAAUACCGGAUAAUAUAUUGAACCGCAUGGUUCAAUAGUGAAAGACGGUUUUGCUGUCACUUAUAGAUGGAUCCGCGCCGCAUUAGCUAGUUGGUAAGGUAACGGCUUACCAAGGCGACGAUGCGUAGCCGACCUGAGAGGGUGAUCGGCCACACUGGAACUGAGACACGGUCCAGACUCCUACGGGAGGCAGCAGUAGGGAAUCUUCCGCAAUGGGCGAAAGCCUGACGGAGCAACGCCGCGUGAGUGAUGAAGGUCUUCGGAUCGUAAAACUCUGUUAUUAGGGAAGAACAAAUGUGUAAGUAACUAUGCACGUCUUGACGGUACCUAAUCAGAAAGCCACGGCUAACUACGUG